CAAGAGCGUAUAUUAAAGUUGUUGCAGUUAAAAAGCUCGUAGUUGGAUUUCUGGUAUAAUGCGCCUGGCCCGCUCCGUUUCGGAGUGAGUGCCGGUGCGCGUUUGCCAUCCUUCUAGAAAACGUUUCUACCCUUCGCUGGGCCGGAUUCGCGAUCUAGAUCUUUUACUUUGAAAAAAUUAGAGUGUUUAAAGCAGGCUUUUGCUAUGAAUACAUUAGCAUGGAAUAAUAAUCUAGGACUUCGGUUCUAUUUUGUUGGUUUCUAGUACUGAAGUAAUGAUUGAUAGGGAUAGUUGGGGGUGCUAGUAUUGACCGGCCAGAGGUGAAAUUCUUGGAUUCGGUCAAGACUAACUUAUGCGAAAGCAUUCACCAAGGAUGUCUUCUUUAA
rnacentral:rRNA from 1 species